GGGGGAGGUGAGGUGGAGUGUAUGGCAGGAGAGAGGUGAGGUGGGGUGUGUGGCAGGGGAGAGGUAAGGUGGGGUGUAUGGCAGGGGAGAGGUGAGGUGAGGUGGUGUGUAUGGCAGGGGAGAGGUGAGGUGGUGUGUAUGGCAGGGGAGAGGUGAGGUGGUGUGUAUGGCAGGGGAGAGGUGAGGUGGUGUGUAUGGCAGGGGAAAGGUGAGGUGGGGUGUAUGGCAGGGGAAAGGUGAGGUGGUGUGUAUGGCAGGGGAAAGGUGAGGUGGGGUGUAUGGCAGGGGAGAGGUGAGGUGGGGUGUAUGCCAGGGGAAAGGUGAGGUAUACAACACAUUUUCCAAAAAGUAGUAGCAUUAGUCACGUAAACACAGAAAUAAACAAAUGGCACAUUGGAUUCCUAAUUUUAAAAAUAAGUGGUGCUUU
ensembl:lncRNA